GGGAAAGCCGACAGUGACAGGUGUUACCCAGCUCCCACGCAGCUGGAAAGGCUGGUCUCACUGUCAGCAUGCUCCCCCAACAGCAUCAAGUUUAUUUCCAGGCAGCAGGCGAGCAGGGCUGAGAACUUGUCCCAGGCUACAAGCCUCCCUGCUGACAACAGAAGCAGGGCUUUCAGGUUUUAUGCCUCUCUGCCUGCCACAGCUUCUGUGCUUGUAUCUGCACUCCCUGUUUGACCCCCUCCCCAGAUUCUGUCCAGGAAACUUCAUGUUCGGUAGAAAUUGUUAUAAAAUUCAACUGGAAGUUUUCCUCUCCCUCUGGUUUUUCCUCAAUUCCACUGGCAGCCCUCCCCAAGUUGCAAGAUAAAGACAGAAAAGGCUUCCCUGAGGACUGAGAGUGCCCACAGGGCUCUUGCUGCUGCUUUCUCUACCCCUAUAUUUUGUGCGGCUCUCAGCAUUUGUCUCAGCUCCAGGGAGAAGAGAAGGAAAAGCAGAUGAGUGAACAAGGGCAGAUGGUGCUGGAGAAUUCCAUCAAGUGGGCAUCAAGAAGGGACUGGAGGUUAAAACCUUUGGGAUAAAGAAGAAGAAAAAAAGACAAGCUGAUGGCACCUGGGCACUGUUUGCUGGGCACAAACAUGGCACUGUUUCCUAGGAGAUGAUUCCUCCAGUUCUUUAAGGUAGUAAUGAAUGACAACAAGAAGUUACUUCUCUAUGCUACACACGGUGUAGAAUCCAGAGCCUGACUGGCUGUGACGCGCCCAUGGUGACACCAAGGGGACUCUGCAUGGGCACAUCCCGGCCCUCCUCCCUGCAUGUUCUCCAAGCCAGGUCUUUGAAACCUCCAGUGAUGGGAAUGACAGAAUCUGGGAUGAUUUUCUUCUGUUUCUUAUCUAAAAAAACAACAAAAAGCUCAGCAUACACGGACUCACACAAACCUUUUGCUAGAGGCAGCUCUGUAGACUUAAGACGCUGUCAUUUUUCAGAAGAACCCAGCUUGCUUUGGAACUACAGUCAGCCCUGCAACCCACCCUCACCUUGGACCCUGCUGCUGCUGUCUGUAAAGGGUCUGGAUGAAGGAAGGGAGCCUCCAGCUUGUCGGCUGUACUUGCCCAGAAUUUAGCCUUUGCAACAUGGAGCUGCGGGGAUGGGAAAUGUUGUCCACUAGCCUUCCACAAUGCUGCGAUGAAUACACCUGUGCAUUCUUUUUUAGAACAAGUGUAAGAAUUCCUAUGUGGCUGGACGGUACUGCUGCCAUCUCGGCUCACUGCAACCUCC
rnacentral:lncRNA from 1 species